rfam:Macrostomum lignano unitig_48445, whole genome shotgun sequence.
UCGAAAGAACCGGGUAAUCUGUUGAAUUCCCUCGUGACAGGGAUCGGGGCUUGCAAUUAUUCCCCGUGAACGAGGAAUUCCCAGUAAGCGCAAGUCAUCAGCUUGCGUUGAUUACGUCCCUGCCCUUUGUACACACCGCCCGUCGCUACUACCGAUUGAAUGGUUUAGCAAGGUCCUCGGAUUGGUGCCGACUUGGUGGCAACACUAGGUCGGAUACUGAAAAGAAGAUCAAACUUGAUCAUUUAGAGGAAGUAAAAGUCGUAACAAGGUUUCCGUAGGUGAACCUGCGGAAGGAUCAUUA